UACGGAGGGUGCAAGCGUUAUCCGGAUUUACUGGGUUUAAAGGGUGUGUAGGCGGGCUUUUAAGUCAGUGGUGAAAUCUCCGGGCUCAACCUGGAAACUGCCAUUGAUACUAUUAGUCUUGAAUUUUGUUGAGGUAGGCGGAAUAAGUCAUGUAGCGGUGAAAUGCAUAGAUAUGACUUAGAACACCAAUUGCGAAGGCAGCUUACUAUGGUGUCAUUGACGCUGAGGCACGAAAGCGUGGGGAUCAAACAGG
rnacentral:rRNA from 1 species